UAGAAAAUAUUUUACUGAACUUCAAGUAAAAACCUUUAUCCAAGAGAGGGGAUUCGAUCCGUUAUGGUUCUCUGUAAGGAAAUAUGGCCUUUAAUCAAGUAUCAUAGGUGGGAACUUUUUUGGAUGAUCCCUAAAGACAAUGUUGUGGUCCCUGUUGUUCAGCAGUUUUAUAUGUCUUUACGAGACCAAGAAUCUAGAAAUACUGAAUGUCGUAUGUGGGAU
rnacentral:lncRNA from 1 species